CAUGCGCAUAUAAUUGUGUGUGCACGUACAUGUGUGUAUAUGAUCAUACAUAUAAAUACACACACAUACAGCACACACACACCAAGGUAUGGC
ensembl:miRNA